GCAAUUAAUCGUAUCAAAGAUAAAGAACAAAUGAAAUAGUGUGUGCUCUAAAGGUCACAUGUUGAAUAAGUAAUUGAAUAUGUGCUUAAUCUUUAGAUCCCUAUCUUGGGUGUCAUGUGUUUAGUUACUAUAAAACCCAUGUUCAUCUUUCUGUUAAUCUCCUUUUGCCUUGAGACUACACAACAAAAAUGACCUAUGACUACU
rnacentral:lncRNA from 1 species